rnacentral:pre_miRNA from 1 species
AUUUUGAACAUUCAUUCUACUGUGAACAGAGCUCACCAAUUCUUGAACUGAUAACUAUUCUUUGACUUGGACUGCUGAUUUUGGCAUAAUUCUGUCAAUUCCCUCAUAGAUGUAAUGUAAGUUGGUUUGGAGUUCAGUAAAGAAGCAGUGACACUAAAUGACGGUUGGAAUGCCAGAGAUAGUCUAGUUACAUGUUUGAAGGAAUUGACAGUAUUAUGCCAGACGGCAUUUCAAGUUGAAGAGGAUGAAGAGCUCAAAGAUUGGUGAGGCCUGUUUAUGGCGAUGAAAUUGGCCUACAAAGU